GAGUCGAGCCCGUAGCGCCCGCGGUCGAUGCGGAACGUGAGCGGGCCGCCGCGGCCGGGCUCCUGCACCGUCACGUUGAUGAGCGCCGUGUAGUACUCCUGGCUCGCGUUGUCGGCCCGCGCCGGCCACAGGCUGCAGGCUCUAUCCCUUGAAGGUCUUGGUCCACGUUGGCUGUCCCCAUUGCUGCUGAUGAUUAUUACACACCACCCCUAAACUGUGGCUGCAGCUCAAUAAACGUGGAAAAAAGAAUAAAUCUUGAAAUUACCCAGAGAAAAGUGACAUGUUGCAUAUGAGGGAACAACAAUUCAAAUGACCGUGGAUUGUGGAUUGUUUAUCAGAAACCGUGGAGGCCAGAAGACAGUGGAGCAACAUCUUCAAAGUGCUGAAAGGAAAUAAUUGUCAGUCUGGAAUUCUAUAUCCAGAGAAAAUAUCCUUUAAGAAUGACGGUGAAAUAAAGAUGUUCUCAGGGGACGGCACACCGAGGUUCGUCACCAGCAGAGCUGCUACAAAAGGAAUGCUAAAGGGAGUUUGCCAAGGAGAAGGGAAACGAUACAGGGGGGAGACUUGAGACUUGGCAAUGAAAGAAGAGCAACAGAAACACUGACGAUGUGGGUAGAUAUACUAGAGUAUUUUUCUCCUCCUAAAUUCUUUAAAAAUAUAAAUGACUGUUAAAGAGAAAA